AUCGCUUCUCAGCCUUUUGGUUAAGAUCAAGUGUAGUAUCUGUUCUUAUCAACCUCAUCCUUGACAACACUGGCUAAUAUCAAUUCUUUUUUUUUCCUCUCAAUUUUAGGGGAGAAAUUUUU
rnacentral:snRNA from 1 species